rnacentral:lncRNA from 1 species
GUGGAGAGGACGACGGAGACGAUGCGGAGACGAUGCGGAGACUACGACGGGUGACGACAUGCGUCGAAAACUUUAUAAAGUUUUCAAAAUGUUUUGUUUCUAUUAUAUUAUAUAAAUGAACUAUUUUUGUCAUAUUGGACCUUGAGGUCUAGAUUAGGAAGAAAAAAAAUGGUCUAGGGCUAUCUAAGGCCAUUUCUCUAAAAAGUACAUAAACAAUAUUUAAAAAAGUAAAAAUAAACAAAGUUUAGGAAUCUAUUUUUUGGAUGGAUAUAUUUGAAAUCACACCAAAUCAGAAAUUUAUUAAGUUGAAUCCAAUAUGAGCUACUUAGGUUCCAAGUGGAGAAAGCGGAUAGAGUGUUACGGAUUUAGCGGACCAAGUGGAUCGAGCGGAACAAGAGUGGAUCAAGCAUAUUAAAGCAGAUCUAGUGGUUCAAAACAAAAGUUUGAAUGGUGAAAGUGGAUAAAAAGUGGUCCAAAAUACUGUACAAAUUAAAAUUAAUUUAUAAAAAUAUUAUAUACUAUUUAUUUUUAUAGUUAAAAAGAGUUAUUUUUAAAAAAAUUGUACAUGAACUAAUUACAUUUUUGUAAAGGUGGUGUAAAAUGAAUUUCACAAAAAGAAUUAAUAGUUAUUUAAUUAUUU